UCUAUGCCUGCGCCCAUCCUAAGCCAUU
rnacentral:piRNA from 1 species